rnacentral:rRNA from 1 species
ACGGGAGGCAGCAGUGAGGGAUAUUGGUCAAUGGGCGAGAGCCUGAACCAGCCAAGUAGCGUGAGGGAAGACUGCCCUAUGGGUUGUAAACCUCUUUUGUAUGGGAAUAAAGGGAGCCACGUGUGGCUCGUUGCACGUACCUUACGAAUAAGCAUCGGCUAAUUCCGUGCCAGCAGCCGCGGUAAUACGGAAGAUGCGAGCGUUAUCCGGAUUUAUUGGGUUUAAAGGGAGCGUAGGCGGCCUUUUAAGUCAGCGGUUAAAUGUCAGCGCCCAACGUUGGAAUGCCGUUGAAACUGGAGGGCUUGAAUACACACAAGGUAAGUGGAAUUCGUCGUGUAGCGGUGAAAUGCUUAGAUAUGACGAAGAACUCCGAUUGCGAAGGCAGCUUACUGGGGUGCGAUUGACGCUGAGGCUCGAAAGUGCGGGAAUCAAACAGGAUUAGAUACCCUGGUA